AGAGCGCAAUCUUCUUCUACAACGCCGCCAACUGAAGCGCUGUUCCAUCUGCUGCUCAGUGCUGCCACUUCGUGGGGACACCAGGUUACUGCACCUGAAGGAACCGGUUUACUCUGCGGCGCGUUUCUCUGCCGGUUGAAACCCGGCCUGAGUUUCAUGUUGGUCUGUUUCGUGUCUGGACUCGUCCUGGUUCUGAAGCAUGAUGGGACGAUCCGCUGAGCAGCUGAGAUGAGAUGCGGGUGAAACCCCAGUUCCUCCUGAAUGCUGGGAUCAGGUUUUGUUCUGGAAACCUAAAAGCACCCGAAGGCAUCGUGAAGCCGAGGAAGAUCAUCAUCAUCAGUCAUGACGGGCAGAGGACCCGCCGUCACCAAGGAAGUAUUCACCCCUCUACAGGAAGUGGCAGCACUGCUAGCUGGAGGAGCAGCUGAAUUGCCUCCCCGCCUGCUGCAGGUGUCUCUGCGUUGCCAUGGUUACCUGUCCCUCCCGCCUGCAGCGUCCUCAGAUGCUCCACGGUCAUCUGCAGGAUCUCGGCUUUCUCCAGAUGCAUCAGAAACACGGGAGCUGAGAGGUCAAAGGUCAGGCUGACCUGUUUCUCCCAGGCCGUCGGGACGAGUCGCCGUAACUCCGACAGGCUGCCGUUGAUCCGAUCCCUGCGCCGCUUCUCGAUGAUCUGGAACC